rnacentral:lncRNA from 1 species
GUCUUACCGGUUUUAUUACUUGAAACGAUUUGGUACACUUGCCAAAGUCACCACAAUUCUGCAAGCGUGUUCUGCUGGAGCUAGUCAUCAAGUUCCCCUCCCCCUUGGAAAGGAUUUGUCCUCAAAUCUGAUGGUUCGCCUGAGGACUUAUUAUUGUAGACUCCAUAGAAGUUCCUCCUGGGUCAAAGAUUAAUCUGCAAUAAGCAUCAAACAUAUCUCUAAUUAGUUUUCUAUGACCCAACAAAAUGUAUAAAAGAACAUGUUUAGAAGAAGGUUUCUUAAUUUUAAAAUUUUCAAGUUUAAUACUACAAAGAAACUGUUCUUCUUGUGAAAUUUUAUGUCUCUUGAGUUAGUGGUAUCCAUAAAAGUAACCCUAACCCAAGUAUUAAAUUGCCAUGUAAUGAAGGUUUUAACAGUUUUAAAGAUGGCAUGGAAAUUUCUUGGAGAGAAAAGUGAUAUUUUGGACUUUUAAAAAUAAAUAGAGAAAAGUGAAAGGAUAGAAAACCUCCCCUUAAUAGUUUUGAUUCCAUUGUAGUUGGAGGAGAUAUUGCUCUUAGUUGAUUUGCUUCCCUUUCUUCCACUUCUUUUCUUUCAAUUUCUUCUUUGUCUUCUCUUUCUUUUUCUUUUAUUCUCUCUUCCUCUUUUCUUCUCUCUUCUUCCUCUCUUUUUCUUCUCUCUUCUUCUCUUUUCUCUUCCCCUCUUUUUCUGCUUUCUAUUUCUAUUCUUCUUUGAUUUUCUUCU